CCUGAGUACCAUAUAGCUAGUUGCAUUUGGU
rnacentral:piRNA from 1 species